AGAGUUUGAUCAUGGCUCAGAAUCAACGCUGGCGGCGCGCUUAACACAUGCAAGUCGCACGAGAAAGUGGAGCAAUCCAUGAGUAAAGUGGCGUACGGGUGAGUAACACGUGGAUCAUCUACCUCUUAGUGGGGAAUAACCCUGGGAAACCGGGGCUAAUACCGCAUAAGUCCGUGAGGAGAAAGCAGCAAUGCGCUGAGAGAAGAGUCCGCGGCCGAUUAGCUAGUUGGUGAGGUAAUGGCUCACCAAGGCGUCGAUCGGUAGCCGGCCUGAGAGGGCACACGGCCACACUGGCACUGAAACACGGGCCAGACUCCUACGGGAGGCAGCAGUGGGGAAUCUUGCACAAUGGGGGAAACCCUGAUGCAGCGACGCCGCGUGAGCGAUGAAGCCCUUCGGGGUGUAAAGCUCUUUCGACGGGAACGAUAAUGACGGUACCCGGAGAAGAAGCUGCGGCUAACUACGUGCCAGCAGCCGCGGUAAUACGUAGGCAGCAAGCGUUGUUCGGAAUUACUGGGCGUAAAGAGUGUGUAGGCGGUUCGCCAAGUUUGGUGUGAAAUCUCCCGGCUUAACUGGGAGGGUGCGCCGAAUACUGGCGGGCUUGAGGGUGGGAGAGGUAAGCGGAAUUUCUGGUGUAGCGGUGAAAUGCGUAGAUAUCAGAAGGAACACCUGUGGUGUAGACAGCUUACUGGACCACUUCUGACGCUGAGACACGAAAGCGUGGGUAGCAAACAGGAUUAGAUACCCUAGUAGUCC
rnacentral:rRNA from 1 species